GCCGCACAAGUAUCAUAUGGCUCGUUCUGGGGUAUGAGAGGCAAUUUGGGUGCAGAAAUGCCGUAGCUUGAAAUGAUUACAGGCCUCAGGGAAGAAAUCGGUAAAACUCUUUGAGGCUAUCUUAGAAGAUCCAAGAUACUAUACAGUCCCUUCCAUCUCCAGGGGCCCCCGGAGCUCCUGGAUCCUCCUUCCCUCUGACAUUCUGUUUUACCCAGCCUCUCACAUCCAUUCCAUUCAUCCCCAAUCAACACGUUACGUAGUUUUUCCAUGAGUCAAUCUUUAUUGUUUUUUUGAAGUAAGGAAUUAUUGGCGUAAGGUUCAAUGAGCUUCAAAGCGAACAACAGAAGGAAACUACACCAUACGGGUAGGUGGGUGGGUGGGAAGACCCGACGGGGAGGGGGCGUGACCCGGGGCAGCUGCGGGCCUCACCUGCGGGAGCUGGGUCUCGCUUGCCAGGACCCUGCAGCCGGGUCGCAGCCCAGCGGGGCACAGCAUGGUGUGGAGGAGCCACAGCUCAGGGGUCUGAAGACACACCCCGUCCUCUGGGGGAGGCAGUCCUUUCUGGCCUUCUUGGAACCGAACCUUCCAAUCAUUGCCACCAACAGCGGCUUGGCCACCACGAGGACUCAACCUCCCUCCGGGACAGCCGGUUCUCCCCCACCGGGGCCUCCUAGGAUGGAAGCCCCCCCCACCCCAGGGACAGAUUAAGGCCCCUGCAGAUGGAGGACGGGGCGAAGGCGCAGGUGGUUCCGGAGGCCCUCCGCCAUCCACCGCGCGUGUCUUCCCUCGGGGGCUCGGGGGCUCGGGGGCAGCGCAGAGAGGGCCCCUCAGUAGGAGGGAGCUGCCCCGGGCUCCGCCGGCUCCUCCUCUAUGAGCUCCAGGUCGAACUCGUCCUCCAGGGACCCUCCGACGGGCAGCAGGCGGAACUUCUUCCCCUUCAGGGUGCAGGUGCGGUGCUCGAAGUCCAGGACGGCGUUGUGGUCCUGCAGCACGUCGGUGCCGAUGAUGGCCUCCUCGGCGCUGGCGUUGGCCACCAGGAACUCUGCCUUCAGCUUCAGCUUCCCCAGGGACACCACCGUGUCCCAGAUGCCCAGGAUCUUCAUCUCCGCCCCGUUGGCCACUUUGACCACGUUCUCGAAGGGCCGCAGCGUGUCCAGGUCGCCGUCCGUGACCUCCUCCCACAGGCUGGGGUGGACCACGGACACCUGGGCCCCGGAGUCCACCAGGAACCUCACGGGCACCUUCCCGAUCUUGCCCUUGAGGUAGUAGCCCUUGCCCAUGCUGUUGGCGAAGACGAUCUCGCGGGGCGGGAGGCCCCCGGAGGCCUGCAGCAGGGCGGCCUUCACCGCCGCGUAGUCGGCCUGGGCCUCGGGCCCGAGCGCGCGGAGGGUCUGCAGGGCGCGUCCCCGCAGGGACCCCCGCAGGAGCCGCAGCCUGGCCGCGGGGUCCCAGCCGUUCAGGUCACCGAUGGCCUCGAAGCGGUGCAGCCAGGCGCGCGCGCCCACGCCCUCCCCGUCGAAGGGCUCCGGGACGAAGGCGCGCUCCCCGCGGCGCCCCCGGGGCCCGGCCUCCGUCCCCGUCCCCGUCCCCGGCCCCGUCCCCGUCCCCGUCCCCGUCCCCGGCCCCGUCCCAGCCAUCGCGCUGCCCUCCUGUGCCAGCGCCGCGGCCACGCACGCCGCGUACAGCAGACCGCAGAGCCGUGCGGGCGCAAUCACGCUGCGGGGCGCGGGGCAGGUGCGGGGGGCGCGGGGGCAGGUGCAGGUGCAGGUGCGGAGGGCGCAGGUGCAGGUGCAGGUGCAGAGGGCGCAGGUGCAGGUGCAGGUGCAGGUGCGGAGGGCGCAGGUGCAGGUGUGGAGGGUGCAGGUGCAGGUGCGGGGGCGCGGGGGGCCGCGGGGGGCAGGUGCAGGUGCGGAGGGCGCAGGGGCAGGUGCAGGUGCAGGUGCAGAGGGCGCAGGGGCAGGUGCAGGUGCAGGUGCAGAGGGCGCAGGUGCAGGCGCGGGGGGCCUGGGCCUCUGCGGAGCGCGGCUGCCGUCGGGGCCUCUGCGGGGAGCCGCUGCGGUGGGGCCGAGGCGGAGGCCGGAGCGACUGCGGCGCGGCUCCCCCGCGGGGCCCUUUUGAUGCCCAGCCCGCCCCGCUCGUCCCC
rnacentral:lncRNA from 1 species